CCAAGGCUCAGAAAAGUGAAGUGUCUGGUCCAAGAUCACACAGCAGAUGAGAGGUGGAGCCAGGAAUAGAACAAAGGGAGCUUUCUUGGCCUGCCAGUGGUUGCUUCUGGGAAUCUAGGGUCUGGAGUCAGCCAGGAAGACUAUCGCUUCCAAGUCGUUGAUUCUCCUGGAGACAUGAAUAUCUGGUGACUGAGAUGUGGUCCUCAGGUGCUGAGAGAGGGCAGGGUGAGAAACCCAAAGGUUCAGGAUCACCAAUCCAGAUGUUCCUGCCAAGGUUUCAGAUGGGCAUCGGACAGGACCGGCAGAGGAGCUCCAAUUAUACCCCAGCGAUGCUCUGGGGUCCUUUACCAUGAUGCUGGAAGAGACCUCAGCAGAACAUGGUCAGACCACUCACGCUGCAGAGUGCUGCUGGAGGGAAUGUAUGUAGGAGGACCACCUCGACGCUCUCAUAGCCGGGGAGCCGAGACGAGGGAAGACACCCAAAGAACGGACUAGGUCGCGACGGACCACUCGCCCGCCGUUAAU